CACAUCCCCCCACCAAAUGUAUCUUGAGAUCCCCACUACACGAGGAAGCUUUACUAUUUAGCAAGGGUGAGACUGAGACUUUUGGAGCAGGGAAGCACCAAACAGCCCAGGAUUCUGACUUGGGGCUUAGAAGCCCUUUGGCUAGGCCAAGCAUGAACCCUUUAGCUGUGGAAGUGUUGGGAGCUUAGGGUCCACUUGAGGGAAGGGACAGGAUGGAGGCCUUGAAGAACUGACAAAAUGGGCGGCGCUCAGGCAGUGACCGUUUACCGCAGGAAAUGGAAGUGCCAGGGACUUCAGCACUGCUGCAUUUCCGCCUGCGCCUGCCUGCUCACUAGCUGCUCUGGUCUGCAGCUCACCUCCAAAGACCUUGAGGGCGGCGUCUUUAGAGAGACUUGCAAUAGCCCAGUGGAACAUAAAAGAAGGGAGAAAAUGUGGGACUGGAAGAGAGGCUGAGCGGGCCAAGAGGGUGCUUUUGUGGUUUUGUUUGUUUGCAGCAGUGCUGGAGACUGAGCUCAGUGCCUCAUGCCUGGGCAAAGCUCUACCACAGAGCUACAUCCCCCACACCCUUUAUUUUAAGACAGAAUCUUGCUAACUUGGCCAGGGUGGCUUUGAACUUGGGAUUGGUCUGCCUUGGCCUCCCCAGUAGCUGGAAUACAGGUCUGGAAUACACCCAGCAGAGCAAUGCAUUUGGAACAUUACCUCCCCUUCCCCGCCACCGCUGAUGACCCUUUUACAGUCACUGGUGGUGGCGACGGCGGUCACUCCGAUCCUGUGGGCACUGCUAAUGGCGUACAGCAGGCGGCCCGUCUCGGGGGCGAAGGCCCGGAUCUUGCCAUCGUUCCACGCUGGGGCGAGAGGAGACAGAGGGCAGGCAGGGUCAGCACCCCUGCCCUCCCUCCAGACUGUGUGCUCCUAAAAGACAAAUGAGAGUGAGACUCGGGAGAAGUGGCACUGAUGGGGAAAGAAGCCACAGACAGACAGACAGACAGACACAGCCGCCCAGCCUGUCCCCACGGCCCCAAGCAGGCCAGGCCUGGCUGAGGGAAAGGAGGGUUUGUUAGUUAAAACUGCCUUCAGGGCAUCCCGCAUGGAGAGAAACAGCGCACCUUUGCAGGGCUGCAGACUUGUGCUUGCCGCUGGCUGGCUGCUUCGGGCCAGGCUGCAUCCUUUAACAGAUCCAAAUGAUUCCUGGCUUCUUCCCCCAUCCUCACCUCUUUCCCCCACAGCGAACCCUGCCAUCAUCCGUCCAGGUGCUUAACCCAAGAGCCUCGGUCCUCCUGAUGGCUUUAUAUCCCGCCUGCCCCACCCAACCUGACAUCUGACCCAUCAGUGAAUCCCGUCAGCUCUACCCUUCAGAACACUGAGGAUCUGACCAGAUUUCCACCCAGCACUAGUACCCGCUGUUCAAACCACGAGCCCAUCUCCCCUGGAUGGUUAUUCUUUUGUUUGUUUCUGUAGUUUUAGGGACUGAAUCCAGUGCCUUCCUAGUAAGCUGUAUCCCCAGCCUUUUUUAUAUUAAAUUUUUCUGUUUUGAGACCAGGUCUUGCUAAAUCACUAAGCUUCCCAGGUUGGGUUUGAACUUGUGAUCCUCCUGCCUCAGCGUCCCAGAGUGCUGGGAUUAUUGAUGUCCAUUACCAUACCUGACUCUCCUGAAUUAUUUUAACAGCUCCCCACCGUGUCUCCCCUUGUUGCUUAAAACCAGUUAUCUACACAGGUGUUGGGGUGAACCUUAUAAAGCCACGUCACCUUUGAUCAAGCUUUUCCCUCUCUAUAGAGUAUUAAAGAACAACCCCUUCAUCCUGCACAGUACCUAGUACCUGCCCCUCUGGGGUUACUGUCUCUGAACCCCCAGCCCAGACAUAACCACUGAGCCCCAGACACAGUGACCCUCUCCUUACACCAAGGGGUGUCCCACCUCGGGAUCUUUUUGGACUUGCUGUCUGUCCCCUUGCAUGGAACGCUUUGCCCCCAGGACUGCACAUGCUGGCUGACACCUGUUCGUUUGUUUUGUGUCAAUUCUUGACCUGAGCAAUCAUAAAUGAGAUAGUUGGGUGGACCUAAUUCAGCCAAGACUCAAGGAAGUGAGAGCAUGAGGGGGUGUGCCAUGGGAAGGUCUGGGGGAAGAAGAUUCCAGAAGGAUGGGGCAGCUGGAGCAGAAGUGCUGCCCCCAGAGAGUUACAGGGAUGGUGCUGCACCGAGUGUGCCUGGGAGGGGUGAGCAGUAGAAGCUGGCGGGGAGAAGGCGAGGUGGAGAGGAAGAAGGUGUGUGGGGACAUCUGAUGUCCACCGAGGCUCGUGUCCUCUGUGGGGCUUCGGGAAGUGCCUGGAUUACGGGCCAGCAGCAGACGGCUGGUGGGCGGUGUGGCCUGGCAGGCAGAGGCGGUCCCCGGAGGAGUGCAGUGAAGGGUGUCUGUCCCUCCUGCUCCUUUCACGGUCCGCUUCCCGGAGCCCUUAGGCUAAGCAGCUUCUGUCCUGCCAGGCUGCUCUGCCAGGCUGCCCUCCUGCCUCGGAGCCAGCUGACGACAGCCUGAAAUGUGAGCCAAGAUAAACCCCCUUCUCGUCAGACAGUUGCCAGAGCCUUCCCUUUCAGAGGGGAAAAGACAUUUGAGCCUUGUAAGGGGCGUGAUCAGACUUGGCGUUUCUGGUUUCCGCAUUCAGAAUACACUGGGAAGGAGCGAAGACCAGCAGCAGGUGUGGAGAGCCCUGGCUGGAAGCUACCGGAAUAACCCAGGCCCAGUGUCCGCCAGCAGCUUAGUCCUGGGGUUCAUUUUUAGAAUAUCUCCAGUCGUGGUGCCAAGGUAGAAAAAGCCGUCAUCCUCAGCCAUCUGGAAGGAGAGGAAAGAAACCUGAAGACCGUGUUUUCUUAGUCUCAUGAGCUCCUGAUCGGGGAGGAGCCGAGUGUCCUCUGACACCCCAGGAAAACCUACACAGACCCACCUGGCUCCUUCUAUUUCCGAUUGUGGGAUGGCGAACUCAGGCUGGGCAAGGCCCGCUGGACUGCAGGCAAUCUAUGAGCCCACUUGAUGUUCCCCGAGGGCAGCCUACCAGUGCUCCUAGGAGGAGGGUGUGUUUCUCCCAGGAGGAUGUGUAUUGCUUUCCCUCCUCACUUCCAAAACCUCUGCUUAAACAAGGACUACGCACUCCACAAGAGAAAUAAAUCAGCGGAGAACAGAGUCACAUCUCCGAAUGUUUCCAUCUACAUUAAGAAUAUAUUGGAUAUUUGUCUAUAUGGAAGAUACUGCAUUUUGCAAUGAUUUUUACUAUCACUAACUUUAUUCCCGUGGCAGAGGUGAUCCUGGUCGCAUGGGGAUGUGAGUGCCACCUAGCUGUCCCGCUUCCCUCCAGGUGAAGCAGCUUUGGGGGUCCGAGUGCAGCUCAGCCCCCAGUUAAAAUGAGGCUCCAAGGCUCUGUCUAGGCAGCUCCUGCCCACCACUGAGGGCGCCCCAGAACCGAGAUGCCCUCGCACCUACGCCUCCUCAUCACCAUCCCCAGUGUCCACUUUUGUCCUCCUGCCAGCGGCCCAAGGUGCACACACACCUUCCGUCAGUGCUGCUGGCAGGAACUUGUAGUGACAGUUACCUAAACUGCGGCUCGAAGCAACACUUACUGCAACACUCAGGACUAUUCUUUUCAUCUGUCCCGUCUGGCACUCGGUCGGCCAGAUCUUUCUGUUCGGGAGGUCGAGUUCCCACACUCGAAUCGUCCCACUGCCAAGAAAAACCACAAUUAAAUGGAGAUCCACUUCCUGGCAGUUCAGUUCUUUUAUGUUUUCUGUGUCCUCUUGCAGAAGUUGAAGAGAUGAGGAUUCAACAUUUGUGAAGUCUUUAACAGCCUAGUGCUCUAUGUAUGAUCUUUCACUCAACCCUCCCAAUGGCCCUAACGGCAGAGUUAUAAGAAACCUCACUCUCCAAAUGAGGUGAUGCGGAGCGUGUACACGGCAAAGCGGGGUCCACACCCAGCUCUCUGGCUUUGGAGGAUGCCAUUUACCAAGUACACCAAAACCAGAUACGCAGAUAUGCGAGGAAACAUGCAGAGCAGAUUGGGAUUCUUUAAGUUUCUUGCCCCCUUUCUAACUGACAACUGAAAACGUGUGUACAUGCUGUUGUAGUAUACUUUGUGGAAUGGUUCAAUCAACUUGCUAAA